rnacentral:rRNA from 1 species
UACGAAGGGGGCUAGCGUUGCGCGGAAUCACUGGGCGUAAAGGGUGCGUAGGCGGGUCUUUAAGUGAGGGGUGAAAUCCUGGAGCUCAACUCCAGAACUGCCUUUGAUACUGAAGAUCUUGAGUUCGGGAGAGGUGAGUGGAACUGCGAGUGUAGAGGUGAAAUUCGUAGAUAUUCGCAAGAACACCAGUGGCGAAGGCGGCUCACUGGCCCGAUACUGACGCUGAGGCACGAAAGCGUGGGGAGCAAACAGG